rnacentral:rRNA from 1 species
GACGAACGCUGGCGGCGUGCUUAACACAUGCAAGUCGAACGGAAAGGCCCUGCUUUUGUGGGGUGCUCGAGUGGCGAACGGGUGAGUAACACGUGAGUAACCUGCCCUUGACUUUGGGAUAACUUCAGGAAACUGGGGCUAAUACCGGAUAGGAGCUCCUGCUGCAUGGUGGGGGUUGGAAAGUUUCGGCGGUUGGGGAUGGACUCGCGGCUUAUCAGCUUGUUGGUGGGGUAGUGGCUUACCAAGGCUUUGACGGGUAGCCGGCCUGAGAGGGUGACCGGCCCCCAUGGGCCUAAGGUACGGCCCAGACUCCUACAGGGGGCAACAGGCGGGAGUAUUGCACAAUGGGCGGAAGCCUGAUGCAGCAACGCCGCGUUCGGGAUGACGGCCUUCAGGUUGUGAACCGCUUUCGCCUGUGACGAAGCGUGAGUGACGGUAAUGGGUAAAGAAGCACCGGCUAACUACGUG